rnacentral:rRNA from 1 species
UGCGUAGGCGGUCUAAUAAGUCAGUGGUGAAAUCUCUUGGCUCAACCGGGAAACUGCCAUUGAUACUGUUAGUCUUGAGUUCGGUUGAGGUAGGCGGAAUGUGUAAUGUAGCGGUGAAAUGCUUAGAUAUUACACAGAACACCAAUUGCGUAGGCAGCUUACUAGACCGACACUGACGCUGAGGCACGAAAGCGUGGGGAGCGAACAGGAUUAGAUACCCUGGUAGUCC